UGGUGCCUGGAAUGCCAGAGAGACAGAACCAUUCACUCCCUGGAAAGGGGGCUGAAACCAGGGAGCCAAGUGGUCUAGCUCAGUUGAUCCCACCCCCAUGGCGCCCAGCAAGAAUUCUUCCAACUUUUAAAUGGAACACAAGUGUCCUUUUAAGGAUGUUCUGGGAGAUAUCAGAGUCUCAAAAAGCAGAUGACAUACUGUAGCCGAAAUGCCACCAACCUGAAAACAGAAGAGAACUUUGCAAGGCCAGAAUUCAGUUGUUUGUUCAAUUUUUCAAGCAAAGAAACCAUUUAGUUCUGAAAAGCAACCAGGGAGAAAUUUCUUGAAAAGUAGUCUGAAAAGAGACUGCAAUUUCCCCAAGUUCUCGGUCAGCAUAGGGAGGCUGUUAACAAGAUCAUCAGACUCCUAAACCUCUAGUAAUCAACGUUUUCUAAUAAAACCCAGGAUUUGUAAGCCUCAUAUUAACAAAUUGCAUCUGACUUAAGCUGGAUGGGCCUGACUUUAAAUGAUUUCAUUACUUGAUCUUUCUGUUCUUCCAUUGACUCACUACCAAAGACUUAAAGACAAAACAAAAGGCCAGGUGUGGUGGCUUAUGCCUGAAAUCCCAGCACUUUUGGAGGCUGAGGUGGGUAGAUUGCAUGAACUCAAGAGUUGGAGACCAUCCUGGGCAACACGGUGAGAUCCUGUGUCUACAAAUAAUACAAAAAUCAGCCAGGCCUGGUGGCAUUUGCCUGUAGUCCCAGCUAUUGGGGAGACUGAGGUGGGAGGAUAGCUUCAUCCUGGGAGGUCAAGACUGCAGUGAGCCAUGAUUGCGCCACUGCACUCCAGCCGAGGUGACAGAGCGAGACCUCAUCUCUUAAAAAAAAUAAAAGAAAGAGAAAAGACAAAAGAUUAUCAAAACUUGUGUUUUUCUUUUGUUGACCUAUGGUGUAGUUUUAAGCAAAUUGAAGAGGAGGGAGAAACUUAUAAAACAGACACUACAUCUUAUUAAAGAAAUAUUUUAAGAAACAUUAUAUUUAAGUGGCUUCAGCUAAUUAAUUACUUGUUUUGCUGAUUUGGAUGGAGAAAUUAGCAAAAAUAAAUCUUGAAAAUGGAGUUUUAGUAGGCUUCCAUUUAUAAAAAUUCAAUUUUACCCCACUUGAAAUAAUCUAUUUGUUGCAUCAGGUUACAUUAUUGCUGGCUGAUAUGAUUACUAGUGGGCAUAUACUGUACAUGUUAUUGCAUCUCUGCACCUGGUUUGUUGGUAAAUACAUGUUGCUGAUAACAGCAGCUAAAUCUCAGAACACAGACAAGUCUGAGCAUAUCUGUUACUGAAACUGAGUAAACAAUUCAAAAUUCAUGUUCUU